rnacentral:rRNA from 1 species
UGGGUAAACUGCCUUGAUGGAGGGGGAUAACUACGUGGAAACGGAUAGCUAAUACCGCAUAACGUCGCAAGACCAAAGAGGGGGACCUUCGGGCCUCUUGCCAUCGGAUGUGCCCAGAUGGGAUUAGCUAGUAGGUGGGGUAACGGCUCACCUAGGCGACGAUCCCUAGCUGGUCUGAGAGGAUGACCAGCCACACUGGAACUGAGACACGGUCCAGACUCCUACGGGAGGCAGCAGUGGGGAAUAUUGCACAAUGGGCGCAAGCCUGAUGCAGCCAUGCCGCGUGUAUGAAGAAGGCCUUCGGGUUGUAAAGUACUUUCAGCGGGGAGGAAGGGAGUAAAGUUNAAUACCUUUGCUCAUUGACGUUACCCGCAGAAGAAGCACCGGCUAACUCCGUGCCAGCAGCCGCGGUAAUAAGGANGGGUGCAAGCGUUAAUCGGAAUUACUGGGCGUAAAGCGCACGCAGGCGGUUUGUUAAGUCAGAUGUGAAAUCCCCCGGGCUCAACCUGGGAACUGCAUCUGAUACUGGCAAAGCUUGAGUCUCGUAGAGGGGGGGUAGAAUUCCAGGUGUAGCGGUGAAAUGCGUAGAGAUCUGGAGGAAUACCGGUGGCGAAGGCGGCCCCCUGGACGAAGACUGACGCUCAGGUGCGAAAGCGUGGGGAGCAAACAGGAUUAGAUACCCUGGUAGUCCACGCCGUAAACGAUGUCGACUUGGAGGUUGUGCCCUUGAGGCGUGGCUUCCGGAGCUAACGCGUUAAGUCGACCGCCUGGGGAGUACGGCCGCAAGGUUAAAACUCAAAUGAAUUGACGGGGGCCCGCCACAAGCGGUGGAGCAUGUGGUUUAAUUCGAUGCAACGCGAAGAACCUUACCUGGUCUUGACAUCCACGGAANUUUUCAGAGAUGAAAAUGUGCCUUCGGGAACNGUGAGACAGGUGCUGCAUGGCUGUCGUCAGCUCGUGUUGUGAAAUGUUGGGUUAAGUCCCGCAACGAGCGCAACCCUUAUCCUUUGUUGCCAGCGGUCCGGCCGGGAACUCAAAGGAGACUGCCAGUGAUAAACUGGAGGAAGGUGGGGAUGACGUCAAGUCAUCAUGGCCCUUACGACCAGGGCUACACACGUGCUACAAUGGCGCAUACAAAGAGAAGCGACCUCGCGAGAGCAAGCGGACCUCAUAAAGUGCGUCGUAGUCCGGAUUGGAGUCUGCAACUCGACUCCAUGAAGUCGGAAUCGCUAGUAAUCGUGGAUCAGAAUGCCACGGUGAAUACGUUCCCGGGCCUUGUACACACCGCCCGUCACAUCCAUGGGAGUGGGUUGCAAAAGAAGUAGGUAGCUUAACCUUCGGGAGGGCGCUACC